CAAAGCCCUGCAGCUUGUACAUGACCUGAAGCUGCCCUGUUGUGAGGUUUGGCAUUUUACCGAUAUAUUCUGCUGCAUUAAAUUUGUGGCACUAUGAUGGCUGACUUCAGGCACUUGGAGACCGUUGCCUGAGAUAGAGACAGAUUGAAAACUCUCGUAAAGACAUCAGCCAGUUGUUCAGCACAGACUUUAAGUACCCGUCCUGGAGCUCCAUCUGGGCCUGCAGCUUUUCGUGGAUUGACCGUCUGCAACGUGCGCCGUACAUCAUGCGUGCUCAGUGCCUCUCACCACAAGGUUCCCGCACUGUCUCUGUCUCAUGGAAUCUUCUCGGAGAGGGCAGAACGCUGGAGCACCCAAACAAUCUCCAAACAGCAAAUCACAGGUUCCAACAGUUCCAGAGUCACAUCCAAGAUGAAAAACAAAGAUAAAAGACAUAACAGAAGUGAAGAAUAUGGUUUCAUGAUCUAUCCAGGAGAUGUCGAUCGAAGGAGUGUUGUACCCAGGCGCUAUCUUGACCCGAAGAUUUGAAACUGCAAUAUGAUGUUUUGGCUUUUUCUUUUCCCUGUGCAGUUCAUUUAUUUCUGUCUGCCUGGCAUACUGUUUGUAUGUGACCUACUUCGUUGCAUUUUCUGCAAGUUUUGCUUUUAAAUCUGGAUUUAUCUAGUGUAUGUGAACUGCUGCCACAACAGUGAUACAAUUUGUCUGGUCUGGCAUGCCUCCAUCUAGAUACUACAAUUUUG